AUGUCGAACGGUGAAUGGGGAGCUUGCUCUCCGGAUCAGUGGCGAACGGGUGAGUAACACGUGAGCAAUCUGCCCCUGACUCUGGGAUAAGCGCUGGAAACGGCGUCUAAUACUGGAUACGAGCUGCGAUCGCAUGGUCAGCAGUUGGAAAGAAUUUCGGUCAGGGAUGAGCUCGCGGCCUAUCAGCUUGUUGGUGAGGUAAUGGCUCACCAAGGCGUCGACGGGUAGCCGGCCUGAGAGGGUGACCGGCCACACUGGGACUGAGACACGGCCCAGACUCCUACGGGAGGCAGCAGUGGGGAAUAUUGCACAAUGGGCGCAAGCCUGAUGCAGCAACGCCGCGUGAGGGACGACGGCCUUCGGGUUGUAAACCUCUUUUAGCAGGGAAGAAGCGAAAGUGACGGUACCUGCAGAAAAACACCGGCUAACUACGUGCCAGCAGCCGCGGUAAUACGUAGGGUGCAAGCGUUAUCCGGAAUUAUUGGGCGUAAAGAGCUCGUAGGCGGUUUGUCGCGUCUGCUGUGAAAACCCGAGGCUCAACCUCGGGCCUGCAGUGGGUACGGGCAGACUAAAGUGCGGUAGGGGAGAUUGGAAUUCCUGGUGUANCGGUGGAAUGCGCAAAUAUCA
rnacentral:rRNA from 1 species